ACAAGCGGUGGAGCAUGUGGUUAAUUCGAAGCAACGCGAAGAACCUUACCAGGUCUUGACAUCCCUGACAACCCGAGAGAUCGGGCGGUUCCCCUUCGGGGGACAGGGUGACAGGUGGUGCAUGGUUGUCGUCAGCUCGUGUCGUGAGAUGUUGGGUUAAGUCCCGCAACGAGCGCAACCCUCGACCUUAGUUGCCAGCAUUCAGUUGGGCACUCUAAGGUGACUGCCGGCUAAAAGUCGGAGGAAGGUGGGGAUGACGUCAAAUCAUCAUGCCCCUUAUGACCUGGGCUACACACGUGCUACAAUGGGCGGUACAAAGGGUCGCGAACCCGCGAGGGGGAGCCAAUCCCAAAAAGCCGCUCUCAGUUCGGAUUGCAGGCUGCAACUCGCCUGCAUGAAGCCGGAAUCGCUAGUAAUCGCGGAUCAGCAUGCCGCGGUGAAUACGUUCCCGGGCCUU
rnacentral:rRNA from 1 species